UACGUAGGGGGCGAGCGUUGUCCGGAGUUACUGGGCGUAAAGGGCGCGCAGGCGGUCUGGUAAGUUUGGAGUGACAGUGCUCGGCUUAACUGAGCAAGGCCUUCGAAAACUGCUAGACUUGAGCACUCAAGAGGGACAUAGAAUUCCGGGUGGAGUGGUGAAAUGCGUAGAUAUCCGGAGGAAUACCAAAGGCGAAGGCAGUGUCCUGGGGAGUGUCUGACGCUCAGGCGCGAAAGCGUGGGGAGCAAACAGG
rnacentral:rRNA from 1 species